rnacentral:rRNA from 1 species
ACGAUGAGCACUAGGUGUCGGGAUCGCAAGAUUUCGGUGCCGCAGUUAACGCAUUAAGUGCUCCGCCUGGGGAGUACGUACGCAAGUAUAAAACUCAAAGGAAUUGACGGGGACCCGCACAAGCAGCGGAGCAUGUGGUUUAAUUCGAAGCAACGCGAAGAACCUUACCAGAGCUUGACAUCUUCCUGACAGGUCUUUAAUCGGACAAUUCUUCGGACAGGAAAGACAGGUGGUGCAUGGCUGUCGUCAG